rnacentral:piRNA from 1 species
UACACUGAAGUCCUAGAAGUGAGGCCUGC